UAAAUCAGUUAUCGUUUAUUUGAUAGUACCUUACUACAUGGAUACCUGUGGUAAUUCUAGAGCUAAUACAUGCUAAAAACCCCGACUUCAGGAAGGGGUGUAUUUAUUAGAUAAAAAACCAACGCCCUUCGGGGCUCCUUGGUGAAUCAUAAUAACUUAACGAAUCGCAUGGCCUUGCGCCGGCGAUGGUUCAUUCAAAUUUCUGCCCUAUCAACUUUCGAUGGUAGGAUAGUGGCCUACCAUGGUGGCAACGGGUAACGGGGAAUUAGGGUUCGAUUCCGGAGAGGGAGCCUGAGAAACGGCUACCACAUCCAAGGAAGGCAGCAGGCGCGCAAAUUACCCAAUCCCGAUACGGGGAGGUAGUGACAAUAAAUACUGAUACGGGGCUCUUUUGGGUCUCGUAAUUGGAAUGAGAACAAUUUAAAUCCCUUAACGAGGAACAAUUGGAGGGCAAGUCUGGUGCCAGCAGCCGCGGUAAUUCCAGCUCCAAUAGCGUAUAUUAAAGUUGUUGCAGUUAAAAAGCUCG
rnacentral:rRNA from 1 species